AAUUUGCGUUAAGGAUUGCAGUGGAAAUCCUUUUGCUUUUUUCAGCAAAAGAUUGCAGCGUAAAGCCUGACCCGAA
rnacentral:sRNA from 1 species